AACGGCCAUACCAUGCUGAAUAUACCGGUUCUCGUUAGAUCACCGAAGUCAAGCAUCAUUGGGCGCGGUCAGUACUUGGGUGAGUGACCACCUGGGAACACCGCGUGCCGUU
rnacentral:rRNA from 1 species